UUAAAAGCCUCCAAGGUAGGAGCCUCCACCACAGCCCCGGAGAGAGAGUUCCACUGCCGAACAGCCCUUCUCACAGUGAGGAAGUUCUUCCUGAUGUUCAGGUGGAAUCUCCUUUCCUGUAGUUUGAAGCCAUUGUUCCGUGUCCUAGUCUCCAGGGCAGCAGAAAACAAGCUUGCUCCCUCCUCCCUAUGACUUCCCUUCACGUAUUUGUACAUGGCUAUCAUGUCUCCUCUCAACCUUCUCUACACACACACCAUUCAGAUAUAUGUAUAUCAAUACCAUAGGUUUCUUUUUACCCAGACUAUAUAUAUAUAUAUGUAUAUGAUUAUUCAUAUAUAUAUAUAAAUACUAUUGAUAUAUGUAUGUCAAUACUAUAUGCUUCAUUUUACCCUGACUGUAUUGACAUAUAUAUGUAUAUGAAUAUAUACACACACACACAUAUACACACAGUAUUGAUAUAUAUAUAUAUGUGUGUGUGUGUAUAUAUAAAUAUUUUGUAGAGCAAAUUGGUAUUUCCAAUUCAAGACUUAAGGGAAUUCACAUAUAUGUAUCUCAAUACCAUAGGCUUCUUUUUACCCGGACUAUUGAUAUAUAUAUAUAUAUAUAUAUUGAUAUAUAUGUCAGUCGGAUACAGUCAGGGCAAUGAAAAUGGAGUUGGAAUACUUUGGUUUUGGGUUAGCGAUAGAUAGCUCGUCGUAAAGACAUUGCCGCCGGCUCCAUGACACUACUGUGCUCCAGCCUCCGAAAUCUGCUCCCGUUUGAGUCCACAUUUGUCAUUUCCUUUCCCUAAAAAUUAGAAGGUCUUUUGUGGGGGUCCAAAGCUACAACCCAAUAUGUGUUCAGUCCCCAAAAAAGCCUUCUAGCGGAAUAUAGGGGAGGCAUUAUCAUCAUAACAAUACAAAAUGAGCAGAAGGAACUUCCCCAGAGCACCCAUUUGGACGUUGCGCACCUUUGUUUGCCCAUUAUGCAUGUGACUUUGUUUCUCAAGGUAGCACAGAGGCGGGAUUUUUUUAUAUAUAUGAAUAUAAAUAUAUAAAUAUAUUAGUUCUGUAGCCUUCGAACCCUGUCCCACUUUGUGGUAAAGCUCUUGACGGUGUUGUCAUUCCCACUUCCCGACCCCCCUCCCAAAAAAAUCCGAAUAAAUUCGAACAUAUUCCCCUUUUUCUUUCAGUGUCCAUAUUUGUCGUUUCCCCUUUUGAUUUUCGAACGAGAAAAAAGUUAAAAAUGCAACCUUUCGCUCUUUCCGUCUGCUUCGCUUCUCCCCCGUUUUAACGAAAAGACAUUUUAAGAAAUGUUGUGUUUGUAUAUAUUCCUUUUAGAGAUUGAGAGAGAGAGAGAUGAAAAGAAUGAUCUUUGUUUUGCUUCCUGUGUUUAUUAUUAAUCCUUUGACCUAUAUUAAGAGGAACUGAGAAAAAAUAAUAAUUAAUAAUAAUUCUGUAUUGAGGAUGUAAUAGCUGUGCCUUUUCAAAUAAAGAAAUCAGAUGGUUGGUUAUACUGUGACCAUUUCCUUUUUCUUCUGCCUUGUUUUUGUUUUCCGUCUCCUUUUAUUUCUUGAAAAAGUCGAUUA
rnacentral:lncRNA from 11 species